GUGCGAGACCGAUAGCGAACAAGUACCGUGAGGGAAAGAUGAAAAGAACUUUGAAAAGAGAGUUAAAGAGUACCUGAAACUGCUGAAAGGGAACCGAAUCGUUUCCAGUGUCUAUAAUCCGUGGUAUAUUUCAUUGGCGAGUGUGUGCGUGCGUGUGCUGUGGCAGCGGCUUUUUAGGCUGCGCUCGGCGUGUGUGCUGUGUGUGCUUGCUGGUGCCCUGUACUGCGGUGGGACGUCAAGGUCAGUUCGUAUGCUGCGGGAAAUGGCUGCCGAGGAGGUAGGGCUUACGCUUGCGUUUGUCUGUUAUAUCUUGGUGGACGAGUAGUCGCGGUUGGGACUGAGGUGCCUACAACGUGCUUUUGAGUGGGUUUGUGUCUCCGUGUGCGCCGUGUGCGGAUAGCUUGCUAUGCGUGUGUGGUUGUGUGUGGAUUGAUGCGGGCCUUAACUUGUUGCUGUUCGGGACUUUGA
rnacentral:rRNA from 2 species